AAUAAAACAAUUAGGAGCAACGCUCUGAGAAUAUUUAUUUCUGGAUUAAACGGUUCAAUCUCAGAAACACUCUUCUCUCUUAACCCAUCAGACUUCCCAAAUGCUUUGGCAAAGUGUCAGGAAUUAGAGUCUAACAACUUUAGAGCUCAAUUUGCAAAUAGGUAUAAUGGAUUUAGGAAUGAAAAUAAAAAUCAAGGAAACAACCUUAGAUUUGCCUCUAGACAGAUUAAUAAUACACCAAAUAGGAUAAAUAAUAAUUGGCCGCAAAACGGGAACUUGGGAGCGAAUAACAAUUGGAAUUUUAAUAAUAAUUCCAAAGUUCAACCACCACCAGAACCUAUGGAAGUAGACGGCUCCAUAAGAGUUCAAAAUCGUCCUAGGAAUAAUAACAACCAGUGGAAUUAUAAUAUUAACCGACACAAUUUUAAUAAUAAUUUCCAAAGAAAUAAUUAUAACCAAUACCCAGCGCAAAAACACAACACAAGCGCAGGUCAUGUAAAUCAGUCCGAAACACACCCCCCGAUAAAACGGGAAUCAACGGGAACAGUCAACCAGCCAGCUCAAAAAACAAUGAGGGUUCCCGGUUUAUCGCCGGUUGCGGUCCCGCUUCUGCUGCUUAUCCUCUUCCGCUGCUCGCUGGGAAGGCGCUCCACUAGACGACCUGAUUAGGUUGUUUCUUCUCCUUCUGCCCGCCUGUGGCUGCCCCAGUCGACCCUUGGGUUCAGGGCAGUGAUGCUGAUGCGCGAUGACUACGCCAAGCGAAGAUUUUUCCGCCUUCAAUUUCUGCUCUAAAUAUUUUCAGCAUCAACCAACAGUUCAUCUUUUCUCCGAAAUUUACUAACCCGCGGCUGCCCCAGUCGAACCUUGGGGUCUGGACGGCAAUGCUGCUGCGCGAUGGCCGCUCCAAGCGAAGAUUUUUCCGGCUUAAAUCUAUGCCUGGAAAACACACGUUACCUUAACCCGCGCACCGAUAAUGUCCAGGAAAACUCACUCUAAUACUAUUUCCCGCGACAAAAAAAAUUCUCACGUCCGCAGGUUACGAUUCUUUUUCAGACACGAACUUUCCACAACUUGACUCGUCGACUGUUUUAUUAGAAAGAAAAUCAUCCGGAAACUUAAGCUUAAGAAUCAGUCGAGUUUUACCACUGACACGAAUCUAACUAUAAAAUGAACGGAGCUAUGCUCCAUAAAGAAACAUUCAAAUGAUUUUCAAAUUACAUGGCGACCGUGACAGAACCAGGAUCUAAGGCCUAAGGACAAAGGGCCUAAGGACUACAAAGGAUUAAGGACUACUACAAUCACUAUCAAAUCAAAAAUUUUAUUUGUCUGGACUGGAGACACGGAUUGAUUUCUUACAAAAAGAAUUAAAAAAAGCGCCAAUAAAAACCCAAAGACCAACUCUCUCAUUCAUCAAAACCACAAAUAAUAAAAAAAUUAAAUCUGCAACACCACCACCCAGAGCCAGCAUACCAGUUUACAAGAAACAAUGCCCGUUGAAGGACCAUGGAGCGCCUAUUGCAAGUACACUUGCAAACAUUGUAAGGACAUCAACCAGCAGAAGGAAGCCUGUGCGACAACCAGAACCGGCACCGCUUAACGCGUCAAGUUAAACCAGCGAGGAAACCGACAGCGCUUCCGAGAGCGCAAUUUUUUCUGUCGAUAGAACUGCGUUGCAAAAUUUUUUCGCAGUGUCUAUAGUGACAAGCAGAAUAUAUAAAGAAAAAUUAAUGCUAAAUAACAAUAAUUCUGUUAGCAAUUUUUAUACUAAUGAUAAUACAGGCACUUAUAAAAGUGUACAAACUCCACAAUAAAUGUUUAAAGAAACGAUAUAAUAGCAGGACCUAGAACAAAUUUAAUUUUGAAAUAAUGGUCAUUAAUGAAAUAAAAAUAAUAAUAAAAUGAAAAAACAAAUCUUUCUUUUAAAUACUUAAAAAUGUCUCAAAGAAAUUAUGGAUUGGCAAAAUUUAACAGCCAUCUUAAAUGAAAUAUAAGAAAAAUUUGAUAAGUCAUAUGUUUGUCUUAGAAUAGAACAAUCCAAAAAUAAACUGCUAGUAAGCAUAUAACCAUUCUGGUAGAAUCAUUUAAUCCCGUGUACAUGACCAAAGAGGGGAAAUAGACAAAAAACAGUGGACAACAGGGUCCAAAUUUUUGAUUAGACUAAAAAUAAUCUAAUAAAUAUCAAAGAAAGGUUCGAUCUAAACAUAUCGAUACCAACAAUUCUUUUUCCCCUUUGACUCUAAGUGAAGAAAAAACAUAAUCACCCUAUUAUUCUGACUCGGAACUAGAAAUCAAAGAAGAAGAUUUGAAAAAGAUUGAUUGGCACAACUCUGAACCUGGUACUGAGCGAAUCUACAAUUGAAGCAAUAAUUAACAAACUGCAAACUUCAAUUUUUGGGGAGACAUCCCAAAAAAUCAAGGCAAAAUUAUCUACUGUACAACAAAAAGGCAAAAAGGCUACACAGUUCAAAACCGAAGUUGAUAAUUUACGUAAGCUCUUAGAAGCUUCGUAUAUCGAUUAAGGUUUACAAAGUGAGCAAGCCAAUAGAUUGAGUACUAGGGAUGCCAUCCAUGUGAUGAUCAAAAAGACCGAACACGAAAGCUACUCAGCUACCCGCUAACAUAAGCAACCCAAACUUAACGUAAACACAGCUUCCGCUUGGAGACCAAACCACGGCCAACUUAUUGCGCAUCAAUCAAAAACUGCAUCGAUCAGCAUAAUUGAAUUUCACAAUGCAGUGGAAUAAUUUCAGCAUAAAGCUUUUAUCGAAAGUUUGGUAAUUUUCCAAAAGAAAAGCUUCUGGCCGAGGUUGAUUGGAUUAGGACUUAGAAUUUGAAGAUCAGUCUGAAUCGGGACGAGAUCGUCAACAGCUCGAAGCUAAAGAUAAGCUACCAACAAAGUGUCUCGUAAUAGUAUAAGUGAAAAGGUUUAUCACCAAAUAAAAGUUAAAUAAUAAAAAUAAAAUUUAUUUUUUUAAAUAAAUAAAUAAAGAGUAACAAUUUAAAUUGGCGCCCAACGUGGUGCCGCGUAUUUAAAAGUUCUAAAUAAAUAUUAAGGAUAAUAAGUUAAAUAUAAAACUUUUAACAUACAUAUAUAAUACAUAUACAUUCACCAGGCAGCGAAGGCGCACUUCAUAGCCUAAGAAGAACAUUGUAUUAGCUUUAAGAAUCAGUCGAGUUUUACCACUGACACGAGUCUAACUAUAAAAUAAACGGAGCUAUGCUCCAUAAAGAAACA